AGUGAACGCUGGCGGUAGGCCUAACACAUGCAAGUCGAACGGCAGCACAGUAAUAGCUUGCUCCUACGGGUGGCGAGUGGCGGAUGGCUGGGGGAUAAAUCGGAAUCUACUUUUUCGUGGGGGUGAACAACGGGAAAUUAUACCUAAUAGCGGAUAUCACUAGCGGGGGAAUGCGGGGGUUCUUUGGAUCUUGGGUGAUUGAACGAGCUAAUGGCGGAUUGGCUAGUUAGCGGGGUAACGGCCCACCAAGGGGUCGAUCGGUAGCUGGUGUGAACGGAGGAUCAGCGACACUGGAGGUGUGCCACGGUACAGACUCCUAGGGGAGGCAGCAGUGGGGAAUAGUGGACAAUGGGCGCAAGACUGAUCCAGCCGUGCCGCGUGGGUGAAGAAGGCCUUCGGGUUGUAAAACCCUUUUGUUGGGAAAGAAAAGCAGCAGGAUGAUACCCCGCUGUUCUGACGGUACCCAAAGAAUAAGCACCGGCUAACUUCGUG
rnacentral:rRNA from 1 species